AUACGGAGGGUGCAAGCGUUGUUCGGAAUCACUGGGCGUAAAGGGCGCGCAGGCGGUUUGGUAAGUCAGAUGUGAAAGCCCAUGGCUCAACCAUGGAAGUGCAUUUGAAACUGUCAGACUUGAGUACUAGAGGGGAAAGUGGAAUUCCCGGUGUAGAGGUGAAAUUCGUAGAUAUCGGGAGGAAUACCGGUGGCGAAGGCGACUUUCUGGCUAGAUACUGACGCUGAGGCGCGAAAGCGUGGGGGGCAAACAGGAUUAGAUACCCUAGUAGUCC
rnacentral:rRNA from 1 species